rnacentral:lncRNA from 1 species
GGGCGGGGCCAACGGACCGCGGAGGCGGAGCCGCUACAGUCUGGGCGCUGGAGCGGUGGGAGCAGCGCUCGUCCGCCGUUGGGGCCCCCAGCCCGCGCGCGUGAAGCAGCUAGCCGACCAAGCCCCGGAAGGCGAGUGCCGGAGGGGGCGGGACAGCUCCUCCGGGGCCAGCGGGCACCAGGCUUGGGGGCUGAGGCCCAGCGGCCCGAGACCAACUGGGCUGACCGAGGCCGCCUCCCCGCCAGCCCUGGGGUCCACUGCCCGGGGAGCAGCUCCCUUCCCAGGUCAGACUCGGGCUUCAUCCUCUCUUGCCGCGCGCCGAGCGGUUUUCAACUCUCACUGCUAGAAUUCCUCCAACCACCCAGGAUAGCAGGACCGAGAUACAUGGCCACCCAUGACCCGGAGCGUCCACUUCCAGGGACAGGCAGUGGUGAUUGGCUUCGGUUGUCAUCUGUGCCAUCUGUCCAUGGUUCGAGAAGCUGCUGUUCACGUUUUGGGGAGGAUCAUGGUUUGAGGGCUCCCGUGGUAGAAUUUGGGGAGCUCUCAUAGGCAGAAGGCUGAGAAAAGUUGGUGCUGUGGGAAGUCAACUGGCAGCCGAUGGAGUCGGGACCCGGGAGGAAUGGAAAGGGAACCCAGAUAGGAAGCUACUGCAGUAGGCUCAGAGAGGUGAUGACGGCAGGGCUAAGACAGCGGCCUUGGGCGGUGACUGGGAAGAACGUUGAACACCGUGUUUGGGCUGAAGAAAAGAGCAAGGGAAGAGGUGAGGAACUUCAGUCCCAGCUGCUCUGGAGUUUGAGGCAGGAGGAUGGCUUGAACCCAAGAGGUGGAGGCUGAAGUGAGCCAAGAUCGCGCCACUGCACUCCAGCCUGGGCGACAGGGCAAAACCCUGUCUCUAAAAAGAACUUUUUAAAAAAGCACCUGUAGAUUUAAGCACAUAAUAACUACACUUUUGUCUGUUUUAUUAUGAUAUCAAAGUUAAAUUUAUGAUGAAUGACUAACUGGACAAAACUGAGAGCAACCACCACAGAGGUGAAUAUACUGAAUGUAUAACACUCUCUAAUAAUUUUAAGAACUCCGCUCUAAUGAGCAGAUAUCACAGAAAGAGACUUUUCAGAUGAAAUACCGAUGACCAGGAAAUCUGUGAGACCAUUUUAAAAAAUUCGAAGUCAUUGAAGAAAUGCAAAGCUUCCAGGCUCCACUUUUCACUGAUGAAAUUGGCAGAGUUUGGGACAAUGAGAUGUUGCUGUCCCGGGAGUGCGGAUGGGGCUGUGUCCUGUGAUGGCGGUGGGCACUGGCACUCUUGUCCAGAAAGACAUUCACCACUGUGGUUCAAGAAGCACCUCAAAGGUCUUCACCUUGGUCCCUUGUCCACCUCUGCCCGCGGUCUCUCCUCCUUUCAGCCUCCUCUUUCCCACACAGUCCCUCCCGCCCUGGCUUGGUCCCCUUUCUUCUGACUGGGUCAGGCAUGUGGGUGACUCUUUGACUUCCAAGGCUCUGUCUACUUGGCUUUUUUCUUUCACCUGUUCUGCAGAAUAACAGCCUGAUUCGUUCCUCUUUUUGGGUCCUUCACUUCCAUACCUGGGAUUCGGGGCGUGGCCCAGAAAGACCCUGCAGUCUUGCAGUGUGGGGCUGCCAGCAUUUCAUGGCCUCCAAGCUCAGCUGGGCUGAAUGAACGCUGCCAUCCAGCGCUUGGCUCAUUUUCUGUCCCAUUUUCCUGAGUGCUUUUGCCAGACUUACACUUUUCUGAAAGCUACUCCACCCUACCCCAGACACACCCUCUCUCCUCGGAUGACCUGCCUCCUAAUUUCCUGAGAAAACUGGACAUGGCCACCUUUCCCCAGUGUCUGAGGCCCAGGUUGACCCGUGGUCAUGGUCGCUGUCACCACCCACCUGCCUGUAUGACAGAGUGAGACCCUGUCUCAAAAAAAAAUAAAAAGAAUGCCUCAUGUUAAAAAAA